UCAGUCUCCCAAGUGCUGGGACUACAAGUGUGAGCCGCCAUGCUCUGCUUGGCUGGAGCUUUCUGUAAACUGUGUUGACAGUGGAGUGAAAGGUGGUCAAGAGAAGCAUGAGGCUCUCUAUGUGUUGUCUUUGGGGUAGUCAUAAGACCUGCCUGAUGAGAAACUUGACACAUGUCAAGCUCUCAACGUCACACGGAGCUAGCUUGGCAGAAGGCAGCUCAGCUGAAAACGAUACGCUGAACCACUCAAGUCAGAUGGCCAGGCCUGACUGCACCCAGAAAUGAGAAGCAGACACUCAGUCCCAGAACCGACCGUAACAGAGCAGCAAAAACGUUGUAAAAUUCUGAUUUUAACUUGUCGUUUUAUUUAUUUAUUUAUACAGAGCCUACCUGUAUUGCCACCAGUGGUACUGGCAUAGAGGUGUCAAGAUCCACGUAUUGGUGACGGUGGGUGGGGCACAGGGUAUACAUAUGCAGGCUUUGACGUGGGUAGCCACACAGAGCAUGUGGUAGGAACUUGAGCAGCUGAUGCCUGUCGUCAAAGAGCACAUCCCCAAGCUCGUUCAGCCCCCCUUGCAGUUCCUGCCCCAUGCUGGCGAAGAUGCCUGCUAACAUUUACUCAGUGUUUUUUUAGAUAGUGCCUUGGCUGGCAUUUCCACUCGUGGGAGCUAGCUGUCCCAAAUGUAGCAAGAGAGUGCCCCAAACCCACAUACCAGACCGAGGAAGAUACAGAGAAAGGCUAGAUGGUCACCUGGGAAACCAAGGGUAGUUAAGGAAUGUAGUAAGGAUGGAGUCUCUGAGUUCCUGUCCUCACCUCUGGGAAGAAUCUAAGGCGCCUUCUGUGAUCUGUUAAAGGUGUGUUGUCCCUCUUGAGGGUGGAGGUGCUAGAGGUGUAUACUGGAGGUAAGACGGCUUAACAGGGGUGAGUCUUUGAUGAGAAAGGCUGAGUAUGCAGACCCCCAUUUCACACAGCUGAUUGGAAAGGCUUGUAGAAACUUCAAAACAUUUUGGUCAAAAGAGAAGGAAAAAUUAACUCCUCAAUCAGAGGAAUCCAAACCACAUUUUUUUUUUUUUUUGUGAACAUCAAUACGACCUUUCUAACCAUUGAUAAUUUUCUCUUUUCGUCUUCCUAGUUACAGGAUCAAGAUAAAUAGGCUCUAAAGCGGUGAAGGGAGAAAGCAAAAUAAAGUCUGUGUUUCAUUAAAUUGGAGGAAACCUUUGCUAGGGCAGUUAAAGCUAUGAUUAGGAAAACCCAUGUGGGCUUUGGAUGCCAAACAUUUGCUAUAUCUCAGGUUCUAAACUAUCACUUUGGUAGGGAGUGAUUUUUCUGGAACCCUAAUGUUAUAACAAUGCAAGGAAAGAACAGGGAAGUGUUUAGGGUAAGACCAGGGCUGAGAACCAACAUAGGGUGGCCAGCCUCGCUCUAUAGACACUGUGUGCAGGAAAAGCAGGGAAGCUCCUGAAGAGGCUCUGGGAAAGCCAUGAAAACAUGCAAACUGUAGGCAAAAGGGUUUCAUGGAUGCAUUUUUACAGAGAGCAGUUGAUAGCUUUCAAAAGAUUCCCAAAAUGUCUAGGAACAUCUCUGUGGUAAGAACCAAAAGCAUCCAAUCAUACCUCAUAUUUACGUUUAUGAGAUAUCAACAGAUAGCCCAUUCUAAUAUGUCAACUAAGAGAAUUCAAAAUAAUAUUCAUGUUAUGUAUUUUAUCAAAGCGUUCUAACUUGGUAGGAAAUAUUUCUAAUAAGUAAAAAACAGUGUUGUUCUUUUCCAUUGAACCUAUUCCUUAGGGGAGCCUAGAAGGUGGAGACAACAUCAAGAAGCCAGGUGAUGCCUGACAAGAGCUUCUGACAUGAUGAGAUGAUUGCCUACCUGCCUGGCAUCCAGGGAUACUCCCUGCAUAAGACCAUCACAUUCCUGUGUCAAAGCUGCAUGCCACACUGUGUCCCCAUCUAUCACCAAUUGUGGCACUAACAAUGGCUGAGACAGGAGAUCUGGAAAGUGGGGUCAGCAGAGCUGCAGACUGACCUUUCGGUUGCUAAAUGCAUUAUUCACCUUGAUGAGAAUAAGAACUGGUACUCUACUGGAUUGUUGAAGAACUGGGACUUUACUGGAUUGUUAAAGAACUGGGACUCUACUGGAUUGUUGAAGAACUGGGACUCUACUGGAUUGUUAAAGGCCGAAGCUUCAACUGGAGAAAUGAUAGGUGCACUCUUGCGGCUAGGAUGUCAGUGGGUAUGGAAUCGGCUCUAUUUCAUGGUCACUUUGGCAGCUACGGAAACUCUGCCAUUAUGGCAGAUCUAAAGCAUGUGCUGAGAAGUGUGACAUCAUUUAACAUCCCAGCAUCCCCCUGUGGUCCUCUGCAUGGUCAUCUGAGGCCUGUUCUCACUCUUGAGUCAAGCCCACCACCAGAAAGAUGUUUAGGCCAUUAGAACUCCAUCUAAAUCUUGUGGAUACCUUUGAAGUUGAUGACGUGGAUACGAGAACCAGCUCCUGCUUCCAUCAGCUCACCAAGGAAGUUGAGACUGCAGGCUACCAGCAAAGUCGGGAACCCAGAUGGAUCUGCCACCAGUGCCAUUAUGGCGUGUGAAGUCACUACCCUGGCACAUGAAUCCGGGAAUAAUCCUGUGAAAAGAGGAACCCUUAUAUCCAAAUCCUUUCUCUCCAGUG